ensembl:Mt_tRNA
UAGGAUGGAGUGAGAUUAGGUAGCACGGAGAAUUUUGAAUUCUUAUGAGUAGGUUCGAUUCCUAUUAUCCUAG